rnacentral:tRNA from 1 species
CCCCCUUUGCGGAAUGGGCAGACGCGCCUGAGUCAAGUCACAUUCCAAAAGGAGUGCUGGUUCGAUUUCGGCAGGGGGCACCA